rnacentral:rRNA from 1 species
UACGAGGGGGGCAAGCGUUGUUCGGAUUUAUUGGGCGUAAAGGGUGCGUAGGCGGUCUGGCAAGUCUUGUGUGAAAUCUUCGGGCUCAACCCGAAGUCUGCACAAGAAACUGCCGGGCUUGAGUAUGGGGGAGGUGAGUGGAAUUUCCGGUGUAGCGGUGAAAUGCGUAGAUAUCGGAAGGAACACCUGUGGCGAAAGCGGCUCACUGGACCAUAACUGACGCUGAGGCACGAAAGCUAGGGGAGCAAACAGG